GAUGAAGAACGUAGCGAAAUGCGAUAAGUAAUGCGAAUUGCAGAAUUUCCGUGAGUCAUCGAAUCUUUGAACGCACAUUGCGCCCACUGGUAUUCCGGUGGGCAUGCCUGUUCGAGCGUCAUUAUCCUCCCUCAAACCCCGGGUUUGGUGUUGGACCGAAGUUGUGUGAACAACUGGUCUAAAAAACAAUGACGGCGUCCGUGGGACCCUCGGUGCAACGAGCUUUUAGGAGCACGCGCCGAGUUGCAAGGACCUUCCGGGCCGGUCUCCUUUUACUAUUUUACAAGGUUGACCUCGGAUCAGGUAGGAAUACUCGCUGAACUUAAGCAUAUCAAUAAGCGGAGGA
rnacentral:misc_RNA from 1 species